CGCCCCCUAGAAUCCAUCGACACACAACCACAUCCUCACUCACCCACACACACUCAGAUCAUAUGGACACAUAGAUACACACCAAUACUCAGAUCCAUAUCCAUCCAUAUCCAUAGACACACACACACACAAACGUAGAUACACACCGUUACAUAGAUCCAUCCACAAACAUACAUAAGCAGACAGAAAGACUCACACACACAGUGAUAGUCACACCCAUUCAUGGAUGGAAUUACAAGGAAAACUGCUCUGAAGUCUAAGUAUUGGAGAGUGAAGAUUUACCAAAGUACAGAAACCCAAAGGAUCAAUUGAAGUUGGUGUUGUUGGUGGUAAUACAGGAUCGACCUUAUUGGAUCUUCGUUUCGGACAUAGUAACCUGCAUCCGAGACAGCCCCAGCAUUGUAAGAGCAGAAAGGGCUAGGUGCAGUGUUACUCACCAAGGAAAAGGGGAAAGACAACUAAUCAGUACUUUACCGUUCCAUGAUGGUCUAUGGACAAAGCUCCGGUUUGUUAUUACAAUUCUGGCAAGCGACACAGUAUGGAGAAGGCUCUUCUGGCCCUUCGAACCACACCACCCCAGCAACCCCACAACCCCAAUUAACCCUCGCCAAAUCACAGGAAAAUUCCCAAUGACUGAUUGACCUACCCAACAUGCCUUUGGACCAUGGGAGGAAACUCGACCAACGGGAAAAGCCUGCACAUUCUACGGCGAGCCUCCUUAGAGAAUGCGCUGGAACUGAACCCCAAGCUCUGGAACACCCCAAGCUGUAAUGGCAUCACACUAACUGUAGCUCCCAUUGUCACAUGUACCAAGACACAGUGGCAAAUGCUACUGCAGCAUUAAAGCCAGGACCAACAGGCUAUAGGACAGCUUCUUUCUACAAACCAUUGCACUUCUAAAUUCAUGCGUCUGUACAUUGCAAUUGAGUCACAACACAAAGAUUUUUACUCCCUCACAUUGCGGGAUGGAUGUAAAAUUUAAAUAAAUUCUAAAAAAAUUUCUAAAAAGAAAUCUUGUCUGGCAUAAUGGCUAUACAGAUCAAAUCAUUACACAGUGCAUUGAGGUAGAACAAGGUAAAGCAGUAAUAAUGUAGAAUAAAGUAUAAAAGCUACUGAAAGAGUCAAGUACAGGUAAAUGAUAAAGUGUAAGAUCACCAUGAGAUGGAAUGCAAGGCCAAGGGCCCAUUUUAUUGUACAAGACAGAUAUUCAAGAAUCUGACAUCUAUAAGAUAGAAGCUGUCCUUGAAUAUGUGCUUCAAGCUUUUGUAUCUUCUGCUUGAUAGGAGAAGGAAGAAGAGAGAAUGUCUGAGAAGGGUGGGGCUUUUGAUUAUGCUGGCUGCUUUACUGAGGAAGCAAGUAUAGACAGAGUCUAUAGAGGGCAAAUUCUCUGCAGUGGGAAACCUGAAUGCAGACUGUGUGACUCUUGUACCUGAUAUAAUUAAGAUGAAGCUUCAAUCUCCCAGUACAUCUCAUUAUGGUCCUUGGGCUUUAUUUGUUAACCUGUACUGCACUUUCUCUGUAACAGUAACACUAUAUUUUGCAUUUUCCUUUUGUAAUACCUCAAUGUACUUAUGCAUGAGGGAAUGAACUGCCUGGACUACACAGCAGCAAGAGUUAUUCUCUGUAUCCUGGUCCAUGUGACAAUAAUAAGCCAAUUACCAAAUGCUACUUUCACAAAUAACUGUUUAGUCUGCAAAUCUAACUCUGAGAAGUGGGAGAAGCACAUAAAUAAGUAUCUUUUUUAUUACCUAAUCAUGAAUCAUGUUGAGAAGGUAGCAACAGUGCACUGUUCAGCAUCUGGUAAUUUGCAAUAAUCUGGCCCAAGAUGACUGAAUCAUUUUAGUUGUCCAUCCUAUUUCCACUCAGACCUUUUAGUUUUUGGCCUCCAUCACUGUACCACUGAAGCACAACAUAAGCACUAGUGGCAGCCCUUACCUUCUGACUAUGUACAUUACAGCCUUCUGGGCUCAACAACUUCCACCUUGAGUAUCAAGCAGUAGCAAAUCAAGGGAACUGGGCUUGCUGUGGUGUUUAGAAGACAUUUCAUCACAUAUCCACAAGGCUUCUUCAGUUCUGAUCCAUGGUGGGUAGUUUUCCAGCUUAUAAACUCUGUGAGUUGUUUAAAGGUAUAGCAAUCACAUGAGGGUCAUUAAGAGUCAUAGAGGUAAUGACAGGUUCAUUGGUCAUUAGUCUUAUCUUUGCAUUGUAUAUCAAACAGUCGUAAAUCCCUGAACAGAGGGGGUGGGGUACAACA